CGGUAAUACGUAGGGUGCGAGCGUUAACUCAUGAGUCUGGGCGUAAAGCGUGCGCAGGCGGAUUGUUAAGCAAGAUGUGAAAUCCCCGGGCUUAACCUGGGAAUGGCAUUUUGAACUGGCAGUCUAGAGUGUGUCAGAGGGGGGUGGAAUUCCACGUGUAGCAGUGAAAUGCGUAGAUAUGUGGAGGAACACCAAUGGCGAAGGCAGCCCCCUGGGAUAACACUGACGCUCAUGUACGAAAGCGUGGGUAGCAAACAGGAUUAGAUACCCUGGUAGUCCACGCCCUAAACGAUGUCAACUGGAUGCCAAGGGAGUGAAAUCCCUUAGUAACGCCGUAGUCGCGUAGGACCGACCGCCUGGGGAGUACGGUCGCAAGAUUAAA
rnacentral:rRNA from 1 species